AGCAAAAAAGAAAGCAAAUGUUCAUCCCUGACGGCCCUUUUACUGUGUUUACAGCAACCAGAGAGUAGUUACACCCAUGUAUGGUGAUCUAGGAAAGUGGUUCCAUUGAAGAACUACCAAGCUAGAUAAACAUUGAGGAUUGCAAUCUAAGUCAAUGCCCAUCUGCAGAGGUAAUACAAAACACACACACACACACACACAC